CAGUCGCCGCGGGAAAACGAAGGGGGCUAGCGUUGUUCGGAUUUACUGGGCGUAAAGCGCACGUAGGCGGACUUUUAAGUCAGGGGUGAAAUCCCGGGGCUCAACCCCGGAACUGCCUUUGAUACUGGAAGUCUUGAGUAUGGUAGAGGUGAGUGGAAUUCCGAGUGUAGAGGUGAAAUUCGUAGAUAUUCGGAGGAACACCAGUGGCGAAGGCGGCUCACUGGACCAUUACUGACGCUGAGGUGCGAAAGCGUGGGGAGCAAACAGGAUUAGAUACCCCUGUAGUCCCUGUCUCUUAUAC
rnacentral:rRNA from 1 species